UACGAAGGGGGCUAGCGUUGCUCGGAAUCACUGGGCGUAAAGGGCGCGUAGGCGGCCAUUCAAGUCGGGGGUGAAAGCCCAGGGCUCAACCCUGGAAUUGCCUUCGAUACUGUUUGGCUAGAGACCGGAAGAGGUAAGUGGAACUGCGAGUGUAGAGGUGAAAUUCGUAGAUAUUCGCAAGAACACCGGUGGCGAAGGCGGCUUACUGGUCCGGUUCUGACGCUGAGGCGCGAAAGCGUGGGGAGCAAACAGG
rnacentral:rRNA from 1 species